rnacentral:rRNA from 1 species
AGCUAAAAACCUAGCCUACUUCUAUUCUUUUUCCCUUCCCCACCCUACAAAACAUUUUUUAUCCUAGUAGAGGAGAUCAAAAAGAAAAUAAGCGCUUUAUAAACAGUACCGCAAGGGAAAGAUGAAAUAGCUUUGAAAAAGCCCUCAAGCACCAAAUAGCAGAGAUUACCCCUCGUACCUUUUGCAUCAUGGUUUAACUAGUCUUAAUCAAGCAAAACGAAGUAUUAGUUUGAUUCCCCGAAACUAGGCGAGCUACUUCGAAACAGCCCUAGAGCCAACCCGUCUCUGUUGCAAAAGAGUGGGAAGAUUUCCAAGUAGAAGUGAAAAGCCUACCGAGCCUAGAGAUAGCUGGUUACUCAAGAAAAGAAUCUUAGUUCACCCUUAAGUCCCCUUCUUUCCCUACCCCACCCCCAAAAAGACCCUAGACUUAAGAGCUAUUCAAAUAAGGCACAGCUUAUUUGAUAAAGGAUACAACCUAAAACUAAGGGUCAGUCUAUCUACUAUUUCCCAAGUGGGCCUAAAAGCAGCCACCUUUUGAAAAGCGUUAAAGCUUAACAAUAACCUUAUCCCCAAUUUCAUAUUCCCCUACGAACCCUACCUAUAUUUAGUAUUGAGUAAUCUUAUAAAAUUAUAAGAGAUACAAUGUUAAAACUAGUAACAUGAAGCAGCCCUUCUCCCUAAUGCAAGCAAAUACCAAAAUGGACUAACCAUUGGUUCUUAACGUCCAUGAGCUCAACCUAGCAACACUCCCUUCGAAAACCCUAUGCCCAAAUUACGUUAACCUUACACUAGAGCAUUCCUGGAAAGAUAAAAAGAAAAAGAAGGAACUCGGCAAACUAAAAUCCCGCCUGUUUACCAAAAACAUCGCCUCUUGACACAUACUCCCUAUAAGAGGUCCAGCCUGCCCAGUGAAAUUUUAACGGCCGCGGUACUCUGACCGUGCGAAGGUAGCAUAAUCACUUGUUCUUUAAAUGAGGACUAGUAUCAACGGCAUCACGAGGAUUUUACUGUCUCCUUUUUCCUAUCGGUGAAACUGAUCUCCCCGUGAAGAAGCGGGGAUAAUAUUAUAAGACGAGAAGACCCCAUGGAGCUUUAAACCCAGUAACACCUCAAACACACCCCCCUCCCAAAAAGUUUUAAUGUUCUGUUUACUGGUUUUAGGUUGGGGCGACCGCGGAGUACAACUUAACCUCCACAGCGCACGGAACUUAUUCCUUACCUGAGAGCUACACCUCAAAGAAUUAUCACAUUAACGUAAAAUGAUCCAAUAUUUUCCUUAUUGAUUAAUGAACCAAGUUACCCUGGGGAUAACAGCGCAAUCCAUUUCUAGAGCCCCUAUCGACAAAUGG